GGGAGAGGAAGAGAGAAAAGUUGGAGAGGGAGGGAAGAAGACUCUAAAAUUAAAAAAAAAAAAAUGGCCUGGCCAACUUUGCUUGUUCUCAUUAACCUUGAUGCUAUACCACGGGAAACAAACAAACCGAAAGGAAAAAAGAAAAGAAGAAAAAAAAUAGGGUGUGUACAAUUCUAGGAAAAAAAAAAAAAAAGUUUCUUCCUUCUGAAAGGUGAGGGUUUAAAUUACUCCCAGGACAGCUGCUCUAUAUACCCAGCACUACCUUCUCAUGGGAAAGCCACCUCGUGUGCCGUGAAAACACAGAGACCACCGGAGGGCAAACAAAACCCGAGGAGGACAAGGAAGUGACCUGAAUUUGGCUUUUUCAGGAACCAUCAUCAAGGCCGAUUACCCUGAUGUUUCAGUGAACGCAUAGCCUUUGAUGCGAAGUACGUCUAAACACGAGUGAGGUCAGUGGUCUUUUCACAACGUGGGCCCCUCUCCUGGCAAAGUUAAGCUCAAAAUUAUUUUGUUGAAUUUUCAAUUUUCAUUAUACUCAUUUGACUUGACUCUGUGCCACUGAAAAUAUAUUAGGAAUAAAUCAGUUGAUUGUUUGA